rnacentral:rRNA from 1 species
UACGAAGGGGACUAGCGUUGUUCGGAAUCACUGGGCGUAAAGCGCACGUAGGCGGCUUUGCAAGUUAGAGGUGAAAGCCCGGGGCUCAACUCCGGAAUUGCCUUUAAAACUGCAUCGCUAGAAUUGUGGAGAGGUAAGUGGAAUUCCGAGUGUAGAGGUGAAAUUCGUAGAUAUUCGGAAGAACACCAGUGGCGAAGGCGACUUACUGGACACAUAUUGACGCUGAGGUGCGAAAGCGUGGGGAGCAAACAGG